rnacentral:rRNA from 1 species
UACGUAGGGUGCAAGCGUUGUCCGGAAUUAUUGGGCGUAAAGAGCUCGUAGGCGGUUCGUCGCGUCGGCUGUGAAAACCCGGAGCUCAACUCCGGGCCUGCAGUCGAUACGGGCGGACUUGAGUGUUGCAGGGGAGACUGGAAUUCCUGGUGUAGCGGUGAAAUGCGCAGAUAUCAGGAGGAACACCGGUGGCGAAGGCGGGUCUCUGGGCAACUACUGACGCUGAGGAGCGAAAGCGUGGGGAGUGAACAGG